CCUACGGGAGGCAGCAGUCGAGAAUCAUUCACAAUGGGGGAAACCCUGAUGGUGCGACGCCGCGUGGGGGAAUGAAGGUCUUCGGAUUGUAAACCCCUGUCAUGUGGGAGCAAAUUAAAAAGAUAGUACCACAAGAGGAAGAGACGGCUAACUCUGUGCCAGCAGCCGCGGUAAUACAGAGGUCUCAAGCGUUGUUCGGAAUCACUGGGCGUAAAGCGUGCGUAGGCUGUUUCGUACGUCGUGUGGGAAAGUCCCGGGCUCAACCCGCGGACGGCACAUGAUACUGCGAGAUUAGAGUAAUGGAGGGGGAACCGGAAUGCUCGGUGUAGCAGUGAAAUGCGUAGAUAUCGAGAGGAACACUCGUGGCGAAGGCGGGUUCCUGGACAUUAACUGACGCUGAGGCACGAAGGCCAGGGGAGCGAAAGGGAUUAGAUACCCUUGUAGUC
rnacentral:rRNA from 1 species